GAGAGAACCUAAGGAGAAUAAUCUAAGGAGAGUAACCCUGAAGAGGCUCAAGCCUAAACGGGGAUUAAAUAACAUGUCUUGAUUGGAGAAUAAUCAGAAUCAGUCUUGGGACGAUCAAGCUGUAGACUCCCUAGCUAACCAGUGUAAUGAACAGACAUCAUCCACCAAGUGAGCUUUCCCUGGAACGGGGCGAAGAUAGAAUUAUAUUGUAUUUUUUUAUCUUUAAUUUUGAACUGUAUAAAUAUCCUUAAUAUAUGUAUUUAUUUUAA
rnacentral:lncRNA from 1 species